AUGGCUGCGAUGAACGAAAAGGUGUUGGCUAAAUGUGGACAGAAUAUAGUUAGCCUCAAGAGGAAGUGGGACAGCCCCGCUGCAUAUCAUGCUGAUGCCUGCCACACCUCUCAGUCGCAUCAGCAUCCUACUGGAAACUCUGAUAUCAGGUUGUAUGUUGGUGAAGAUCGCAAGGCGAACAUCGCAUGCCACUUUAACAAGCAGAUUUUACAGAGCUAUCAGAACUACAUGACCAGUGCAUCACCUAAGCGUAUUCUGCUCCGCCAAAGUGGCAGCUGGAAAGAAUUUCCAGAAAAAAUUGUCAAGCUGGCUCAAGUUGAUUUCCGGACAAAGAAGACCAUCACAGAAGUAGGAUACCAGAACCAGCUAUUUUUGCUGGACUUUGUCCACAUGACAUUCAUUGACUCAAAGUCAGGUCUACAGAGGCCAAUCGCCUGGAUUGAUGACAAUGGAAGGCGUUACUUCCCAGAAGUUCUUAUUGAAGAUCAGAUAGUAUAUAGGAGGAAAGAUCUCGGCAAUGGAGAUCAUGUCUAUGUUAGAGCUGAGCCUAACGGGGCACGUGAAAUAAAUGACCGGUAUGGAGCAUCAGAGAGUUCCGCAGAAAGCUCAAACUUUGAGUCCAGUACUGAAGAGGUUUCCAGUGCUAAGAGAGUUAGAGCCGAGAAGGGUAUCAUCAGGAAAAUAAAUUGUGAUCAUAGAGAAACUGUGGGAGAGAAUGAACCACACACUUUGCUGCCUGCAGUCUUUAGUUGUCAACCACAGCAAGAUAAGCUGGGCGGGCAAUCACGUGCUCAAGGAACUACCUCUGUUGUGCAGAAGAUGUUGCUGCAGGGAAUGGGUACUGCUAUUGGUUCCAAGGAUAUUAUUGGAAUCCACCGAACGCCAUUCUUGAAUAAUUAUAGAGAAGACCGCUAUGAUCUCUUCCAAAAGCAGGCAGAGAUUACUAAAUCUCAGCAUGGUGAUGCAAAUGUGCGUUAUGCUUGGCUUCCUUGCUCGAAAGCUGCUGUGGAUGAAAUGAUGCUGAAUGGCACCUUGCAAGUUAAAAAGCCCACUAGGUGUCCACCCUAUGGAACUGGCGUACUCCUUGCACCAGCUAACUGCUCCAUUAACUGUGUGAAUUACUCUGAUGUUGAUGAAAAUGGCAUCAUCUAUGUGAUGUUGUGCCGGGUUGUAAUGGGGAACGUAGAAAUAGUUCACCAUGGAUCUAAGCAGCACCAGCCUAGUAACGAGUAUUUUGAUAGCGGUGUAGAUGACCUAAAAAACCCGCAGCAUUACAUUGUAUGGGAUAUGAAUCUGAAUAGUCACAUCUAUUCUGAAUUUGUAGUCACCAUCAAAUUGCCAUCUAAAGCCAAAGAUUCCCUCUUCACACAAGAAGAUUGUCAUGAUUCAUCUGAUGCUUCACUGGUCUUGAGUCCAAGUUCGGCCGACAGUGUGUCACAGGACAUGAAUCUUGAGGCAUCUCCAGCAUUGGGUGGUCAGUAUGAAGCCCCCAUGUUAGGAGGAUCAAUGGCAAAAGCUCCAAGUACACCUUGGAUGCCUUUUUCCAUGUUAUUUGCUGCUAUUUCAACGAAACUUCCUCGUGAGAAAAUGGACAUGAUCAAUAACUGUUAUGAAGAAUUCAAGGCCAAGAAAAUAAGCAGAAUUGACCUAGUGAAGAGGCUGCGUCUCAUAGUUGGUGACAGAAUGCUGGUAUCCACAAUAAUUCGGCUCCAAGAUAAGUUGCCUCCGAUGGCGAAGCGGGAAGCAGCAAAUGCUCCAGCCAAGGCACGAGGUCAGUGA
rnacentral:rRNA from 1 species